CAAUAGCGUAUAUUAAAGUUGUUGCAGUUAAAAAGCUCGUAGUUGAACUUCUGGUAGGAGCGACCCGGCCUUGGGGCGAAUGCUCCUUGUUUUGCUGUGUGUUGUCUCUGGCCAUCUUUGGUCUUUUCUUUGGAGGGACCAUCAUUUACUGUAAAAAAAUUAGAGUGUUCAAAGCAGAAUGUUAUGUUUGGAAUAUGUUAGUAUGGAAUAAUGAGAUAUGACCUUUGUUAUAUUUUGUUGGUUUACAAUCAAGGGUAAUGAUUAACAGGGACAGUUGGGGGUAUUCGUAUUUACUAGUCAGAGGUGAAAUUCUUGGAUUUAUGAAAGACGAACUACUGCGAAAGCAUUUACCAAGGAUGUUUUCAUUAA
rnacentral:rRNA from 1 species